rnacentral:rRNA from 1 species
AAACUUUCAACAACGGAUCUCUUGGUUCUGGCAUCGAUGAAGAACGCAGCGAAAUGCGAUAAGUAGUGUGAAUUGCAGAAUUCAGUGAAUCAUCGAAUCUUUGAACGCAAUGCGC